rnacentral:rRNA from 1 species
CGGGCUGGAACCUCUCGGGGUUACAGCCUUGCUGAAUUAUUCACCCUUGUCUUUUGCGUACUUCUUGUUUCCUUGGUGGGUUCGCCCACCACUAGGACAAACAUAAACCUUUUUGUAAUUGCAAUCAGCGUCAGUAACAAAUUAAUAAUUACAACUUUCAACAACGGAUCUCUUGGUUCUGGCAUCGAUGAAGAACGCAGCGAAAUGCGAUAAGUAGUGUGAAUUGCAGAAUUCAGUGAAUCAUCGAAUCUUUGAACGCACAUUGCGCCCUUUGGUAUUCCAAAGGGCAUGCCUGUUCGAGCGUCAUUUGUACCCUCAAGCUUUGCUUGGUGUUGGGCGUCUUGUCUCUAGCUUUGCUGGAGACUCGCCUUAAAGUAAUUGGCAGCCGGCCUACUGGUUUCGGAGCGCAGCACAAGUCGCACUCUCUAUCAGCAAAGGUCUAGCAUCCAUUAAGCCUUUUUUUCAACUUUUGACCUCGGAUCAGGUAGGGAUACCCGCUGAACU